rnacentral:rRNA from 1 species
GAUGAACGCUGGCGGCGUACCUAAUACAUGCAAGUCGAGCGAACAGACGAGGAGCUUGCUCCUCUGACGUUAGCGGCGGACGGGUGAGUAACACGUGGAUAACCUACCUAUAAGACUGGGAUAACUUCGGGAAACCGGAGCUAAUACCGGAUAAUAUAUUGAACCGCCUGGUUCAAUAGUGAAAGACGGUUUUGCUGUCACUUAUAGAUGGAUCCGCGCCGCAUUAGCUAGUUGGUAAGGUAACGGCUUACCAAGGCAACGAUGCGUAGCCGACCUGAGAGGGUGAUCGGCCACACUGGAACUGAGACACGGUCCAGACUCCUACGGGAGGCAGCAGUAGGGAAUCUUCCGCAAUGGGCGAAAGCCUGACGGAGCAACGCCGCGUGAGUGAUGAAGGUCUUCGGAUCGUAAAACUCUGUUAUUAGGGAAGAACAAAUGUGUAAGUAACUAUGCACGUCUUGACGGUACCUAAUCAGAAAGCCACGGCUAACUACGUG